UUUUCAGAGAUGAGAAUGUGCCUUCGGGAACCGUGAGACAGGUGCUGCAUGGCUGUCGUCAGCUCGUGUUGUGAAAUGUUGGGUUAAGUCCCGCAACGAGCGCAACCCUUAUCCUUUGUUGCCAGCGAUUCGGUCGGGAACUCAAAGGAGACUGCCAGUGAUAAACUGGAGGAAGGUGGGGAUGACGUCAAGUCAUCAUGGCCCUUACGACCAGGGCUACACCCGUUCUACAAAGGCGCAUACAAAGAGAAGCGACCU
rnacentral:rRNA from 1 species